GAAAGAAGAGAGCUGUGGACACAAAAAAGACAAAACUUGAAUCCUUGUCCCAAGUGGGUCCAGUAAAUGAGAAUGUUAUGGAAGAAGAUCUAAAAACCAUGAUUGAAAGACACUUAACAGCUAAAACUCCAACCAAGAGAGUUAGAAUUGGGAAAACUCUGCCAUCAGAAAAAGCUGUUGUGACAGAACCAGCAAAAGGUGAAGAGGCCUUCCAGAUGAGUGAAGGUAAAGCAGGAUUGUUGGAAUGGGAAGGAAAGUUACACAACACAGGAGAGUAGUUGAAGUUUAAAGAUCUAUCUAAGAAGAAAAGUAGAAAAUCAGUGGAAUAGAGCAGGGGUGGGAAAAGUCAACUAUAGUUAUUAGAUGUGGGUAACAUUUUGAUCUUUGUAAUGUAGAGAGAAUGGAUUAUUGAUAUUAGAAUGUGACAGAUUAGAGGAAAUGAUCCUCGAAAGGUUUUCUGACCAUGUUGCAGCAUCAGAUAGAAAUUAUUUAUUAACUAGCUAUUAUUUGUGGACCUUGCUUUGUUGAUGCUUGUCA
rnacentral:lncRNA from 1 species